rnacentral:ribozyme from 1 species
ACAUGUUAGCUUCCAUAGCAGAAGUGCUUGUGUCAUGGCCCUGUCAGAUUCUAAUGAAUCUGUAAAUUCUGCU